rnacentral:tRNA from 1 species
UGGGGUCUAGCUCAGUUGGUAGAGUGUUUGCCUCGUAGGCACAAGGCCCUGGGUUCGAUCCCCAGUAUCACAC